AUCCGCGCGCUUUCACAGUCCAUCAUCAGCAGAUUAGUUUGAAUGAAGGGCUACAAUUUCACGUUUAUCAGUAGCAUCCUACCAAUUUAUACAUUUAAUGUCAUCAGAAAGGCAAUAAUAGAGAUUUUGCGCAGAAAGUGGAGCUGCAUUUAUCAGACAGAAGCCAUCAUCUAGUACCAUUCAAGUCAGGUGCAUACGGGAAGGAGGAAGGGAGGUCGGCCUUAACGUUUAGGGGGAUGGACGUGAGACACUGCAUCUCGCUACACUUGGACAGAAAUACAAAGAGCAGCCCCCGGGAGUAGCCCAGUAGAGAGUGCGGUGCUGCCGCAGCCUGAGAUCGAUAGAAGAGAUAAGUACAUAUACAGUCCUCGGUACCUGCACGAGUGCAUAAUCAGUAAUUGGCGCCAACUAGAUAUUGGACAUAAAUGUAUGCGUCAUAUUGCCAUCACGUGACUGAGCGCUCGAAUCAUUUUCUCCGAGAAGAGGCAGAGCAGUCCAACCAGAACCGACUCUCGUCAAACGGGAAUUAUUAAUACUUCAGAAAUAAUUUUUUUACGGCAGUUGGAGAAUCUUCAUAAUUUGGAAUAUUUACUGGAAGAACUUGAGUUACAAGGAGCAGUUUGGACAGAGUUUUUUUUGGACGGAAACUUUAAAUUUUCUGUGUGCGGACUAGACACCACUUGAACGGCAAAGCUUCGCCGAGGCUAUCCGAACCUCUCGGCGGGGUUUGUUGAUGGGUCUCUGGACGGUUUUUCUGCCAUUGAUAAUCGAUUUGAACUUGAUAACUAUGAUUAUCAGCGGACAGCGACAUGUUUGAAUUUUGUGGAGCUGUGGACAUGCAGUGAUGGAUGAAUACGUCUCACUGGAUUUAAGAUGAAAAUGAGUUUUGGAUCUAGAAUUUGUGUUGCUGCCUGCGAUCAUGGAUACAUGACGAUGCCACCAGAGAGAGGUCAGAUGAUGAAAGAACAUGCUGAGACUGAACAAAUGUUGCUGUAUGAGUGAGUCCUUUUACUCGUAGAACAAUACGGCAAUAUCACUUAAUGAAACUUUGAAUUUUAUGGAAAUUGGUUAAGUCUAUGUUUUAGUGUCAGGAUUUGUAGCGUAAGUUAGUAUAGCCCCCCCCCCCCCCCCGUAGGCGUAGAAUAAGCGCCUGACCGAAACGUAUUCUUUUGCCUUUCUCCAUAAAGUUUAUCGUUUCAUAUCAAGAAGAUUGCUGUGUUGUCACCUGCUGGUAAUGAAAUUAAUUUUCAUAAUUUUUAUUGAAUGUGUGCCAAAAGCUUUACAACUUUUUUAAACAAAAAGGUAGUAAGGCUUUUACCCCGACAGUUCUCGUUGAAUUGUACGUUACGAUUUUGUGUGUUUCUAAAAACAGAGGCGGUGCCAAUGGAAGGGGACCGGGGCUUUCUUCCCUAUGAUGUUUUAAGUCAUGAAAAAAGGGAAAAAGAAACGAUAAAGAAGGAAAGAAUUCAAAGACAAUUCGAGGUCACCAAACUGUAUAAGACCCUUAUCAUUCAACUGAGAGAAAGGAUGAAGUCACCAUUCGGUUAAUUAUCUUUCCCCUAAUACCCAGGCGCCGCCCCUGAAUGAAAACACUUUCCACGCCAAGAUAUUGGCCGAUGGAAUUCGCGUAAAAACGUUAACGACAUUCGAUCAUUCGGGCGUUAAUCGAUUUCACUUCACGUUCUCGUUGGAAUAUCCGUUUCGUGCGUUUACAAGGUGAGAUAUAUUACAUUUAUUGUAUUUAAAUUUUGUAUAUUUCCUUUUGAUAACCAAUAAUAUAAUAUCAAUUUCGUAAGUUUACAAGGUAAGAUUUAUUCCAUUGAUUUUGUCAGGUGUGAUUUCGUAUAUUUAUUAUUGCUAUAACAGUUACAAUAUUCGUUUUGCAUGUUUAACGGUGAGAUUUUUGUAUGUCUAUUAUAUUCUUCUAUUGUCAUUGCUACUCUAAUCAUCAUUGUGUGGUUUAUUACAUAGUCCCAUGAUAAAAGUUGUAAGUGCCUGGAGAAUUAGUUCGGGUGCGAGUGAGACCGGAUAGCUCAUGAAAUAUUAAGCAUAUCUAUCAUGUCUAUACCAUGUAUAUGAAGAGGCUAAGAGUCAGUACCGAAAAAAGGGUGAUGGACUGUGACGAGGAUAGCUUAUAAUUCAAUUUCUUCAUACAUGUAAAUCUAUAUGCUCAGAUAAUUGUAGUUUUCUACAUUUUUGUUCAGCAGUUUGAAGUUUUAAUAACAGUCACACGCACGUAUAUUUAUGAUGAUAAAUAGAUCUCGACGUCAUUUAUCGUGGAUUUAAGGCAGUGAAGGGUCAACGACGUAUAAUAUAGUGUAUAAGUAGAGGGCGUGGGGGAAAACGGGGGGGGGGGGGGACGAUUGCAAUCACUCCCUCGCAGAUACACAAGCUUAACUUUCUUUCUGUCAAGACCUAGCUUAUAACAGAAGAAUAAAUACAUAACAAAACGGGUUUAUGGUGAUAAAAAUAAUGACAACAUUGAAUGAUAGUGAUAAUAAUCAUUGUCAAUUGAAAAAGACAAUAAAUUCGUUUAAUAAUGAUGAUCUAGCUUAAUUUAUGUAUUUAAAAUUUUAGGACCUGUGAUAAGAACCAAUGUUAUUCAUAUUGUAGGUAUAGUGCACAUUUUUUUGUAUUCGAAUAAAGAGAACCAUUAUCAGAACCAAGCUACAUGGAAUCUGUUUGAAAUUUUAGAUCUAGAGCACACAUUUUUUUUUUUUAUUAGACUUAGCUGAAACCGAAGUAGAAAUGAAAAAGUUAAUGGUGAUGACGAUGAUUAUGAUAGUGAUAAUAAUGAUUAUUGUCAAAUGAAAAAGAAUUUUGUUCAUAUUUUAGAUCUAGUGCUCGAUUUAUGAAUUAAUCUUUUAGAAACCAUUAUCAGAACCAAGCUAUUUCAUAAACCACAUGUCCUUUGUUUUAUAUCCUAUAUCUAGUGCAUGAUCUGUGUAUUCAUAUUUACGGAAACCAUUAUCCUAACCAACCUGUAUAAUAUGGAAAUUCGUUUUAUUGAUAGAGCAUAAUUUUUGUAUAACAUUCAUAGAAAAAUAGAAACCAUUAUCAGAGAUAAGUUAUUCAAGUAAUAUGGAAUUUAUUUU